UAUAAUCUGUCUGAGGGUGUGAAUAU
rnacentral:sRNA from 1 species